AUGGAGGAUAAAGGUUUCUGUGCUGUGCCACAGGUGGAUUUCAGUGCAGAUGGAAAAUCCCUGGGGCUGGAGGGCGAUGGAGCCUCGCUGGCCAGGGACAAACCCGUUCUAUUGCCCCUGCUGAGAGCCUUGAAUACUCCAGAAUUCACGGUGGAUUUCAGCUGCCUGCCCGAGGCUGUGAAGGCGCUGGCGCGCGACGGCUGCAGGGCCCUGCAGGAGCAGCAGUGCCACAGCGCCGAGCUCGCCUUCUCGCGGCUCCUCAGCAUCCUCUGCGCCUCGGGCGUGGCGGUGAGAGCGGCCAAAGCCCCUGCCCGGGGACCCCCU
rnacentral:lncRNA from 1 species